UUCUCCUUUGCUCUCUUUAUAGAAAUGAUUGUAUCAAUUUAAGAAUGUUAUUCUUCCACACUUAAGAAUUAGUUUCACAAGUUCCUCCAAAGGUUUGGCUAGAUAUUUCUUUGUUAUUACAUUUAAUGCACAGAUUAAUUUGUAGGGAAAUUUGUAGUGUUACAUUAUAAUGCUAAGUUGUCUCAUCCAUUAACUUAUCACUUGAUUUUCUUCAGGUCUUCUUUAAUUAACUUCUAACAGAAUUUUAAAUUUUGGCCCUAAAGGCUAUGUGCAUUCUCAGUGAGACUAAUUUCUAGAUAAUUUAUAGAUUUUUGUUUUAUGUAAAUGGUAUUGAAUUUUCUACUAUGUUUUAUUUAUUGAUUAAAGAUUGUGUAAAGUAGUGAUUCUCAGUCUACUUGAAAAUAAGUUAUUCGGGCAGCUUUUAAAAGAUAAGGAUGCUUCGAUCAUCUUCCUGAUCAAUUCAAUCAGAAUUGAGUCUACAUUAAAAAAAACAGUCACGGGAAUUAUUCAUGUUGAUCAGAAAUUGGCCAGAGAUAUAUUGCUCUCAAAUUGGGACGCUUCAUGAAUAGACUCAGCACUAAAAUUGAGAUUAAACUAGAAGACUUUAUACACAGUUGACCCUUGAACAGCACAACAGGACUGCAGUUGUGCACUUCUAUGUAGAUUCUGUUCAACAAAGCACCGAUGGAAAAUACAGCAUUUACAAGAUGAGAAACCCGAGUACACAGAGGAUCAAUCUUUGGUAUAACACGAGUUCCACAAGGCUAACUGUGGCAUUUGGAUACUAUGACUCAUUUAUUCAGAAGUCGCUUGGUUACCUAUGUGUUUGGCGUGGGGCUGGACUACCAGCUUGGACUAACUUAGAAAACUGGGAAAAGAACCAACUUGCCUCAAAAACAAUUUCUCCUCUUUCUCUUUAUCCUUUUUCCUCUAUUUAGACUGCUACAUUAAUAAUGAACCUAAGCUACAGAUAAACAGAAUUCAAUCACUGUGGCCAAAAGACAGGAACUUAGCUGUGGUCAGUCUCCCACAUCUGAUGUCCUCGUGGUAGAGUUCAGGGUUAGAGACUAAGCUGAAAGGAAGGAUGGGACUAGGAAGAAUUGCAUAAUCAGACCUGCCAUAUCCACACACAAAUGGCCAAGUCCAGCCAGAAAUCUUCACAGCUGUUUGAAUAAUAAAGUGGAUAAAUGAGAAGAGGCUUCAGUAAGUUAGAUCAAGCAAGUUCUCAGUACCCAGAGCUAUACUGGGAAAAGCCGUUAGAUAAUGAUAACCAAAUGUAUUUUCCUUGACUGUUCUAUAGGAUUCAGGAGUGUUACUAAAUUGUGCCUCCAAAUCUUAAAAAUAAAAGCCUCAAAAUCUAUG
rnacentral:lncRNA from 1 species